rnacentral:rRNA from 1 species
UACGGAGGGAGCUAGCGUUGUUCGGAAUCACUGGGCGUAAAGCGCACGCAGGCGGAUCGUUAAGUCAGGGGUGAAAUCCCGAGGCUCAACCUCGGAACUGCCUUUGAUACUGGCGAUCUUCGAGUCCGGGAGAGGUGAGUGGAACUCCGAGUGUAGAGGUGAAAUUCGUAGAUAUUCGGAAGAACACCAGUGGCGAAGGCGGCUCACUGGCCCGGUACUGACGCUCAGGUGCGAAAGCGUGGGGAGCAAACAGG